GGAGCACGCCGCGUGAGUGAUGAAGGUUUUCGGAUCGUAAAGCUCUGUUGUUAGGGAAGAACAAGUGCCGUUCAAAUAGGGCGGCACCUUGACGGUACCUAACCAGAAAGCCACGGCUAACUACGUGCCAGCAGCCGCGGUAAUACGUAGGUGGCAAGCGUUGUCCGGAAUUAUUGGGCGUAAAGGGCUCGCAGGCGGUUUCUUAAGUCUGAUGUGAAAGCCCCCGGCUCAACCGGGGAGGGUCAUUGGAAACUGGGGAACUUGAGUGCAGAAGAGGAGAGUGGAAUUCCACGUGUAGCGGUGAAAUGCGUAGAGAUGUGGAGGAACACCAGUGGCGAAGGCGACUCUCUGGUCUGUAACUGACGCUGAGGAGCGAAAGCGUGGGGAGCGAACAGGAUUAGAUACCCUGGUAGUCCACGCCGUAAACGAUGAGUGCUAAGUGUUAGGGGGUUUCCGCCCCUUAGUGCUGCAGCUAACGCAUUAAGCACUCCGCCUGGGGAGUACGGUCGCAAGACUGAAACUCAAAGGAAUUGACGGGGGCCCGCACAAGCGGUGGAGCAUGUGGUUUAAUUCGAAGCAACGCGAAGAACCUUACCAGGUCUUGACAUCCUCUGACAAUCCUAGAGAUAGGACGUCCCCUUCGGGGGCAGAGUGACAGGUGGUGCAUGGUUGUCGUCAGCUCGUGUCGUGAGAUGUUGGGUUAAGUCCCGCAACGAGCGCAACCCUUGAUCUUAGUUGCCAGCAUUCAGUUGGGCACUCUAAGGUGACUGCCGGUGACAAACCGGAGGAAGGUGGGGAUGACGUCAAAUCAUCAUGCCCCUUAUGACCUGGGCUACACACGUGCUACAAUGGAC
rnacentral:rRNA from 2 species